AGUGAACGCUGGCGGUAGGCCUAACACAUGCAAGUCGAACGGCAGCACAGUAAGAGCUUGCUCUUACGGGUGGCGAGUGGCGGACGGGUGAGGAAUACAUCGGAAUCUACUUUUUCGUGGGGGAUAACGUAGGGAAACGUACGCUAAUACCGCAUACGACCUACGGGUGAAAGCAGGGGAUCUUCGGACCUUGCGCGAUUGAAUGAGCCGAUGUCGGAUUAGCUAGUUGGCGGGGUAAAGGCCCACCAAGGCGACGAUCCGUAGCUGGUCUGAGAGGAUGAUCAGACACACUGUAACUGAGACACGGUCCAGACUCCUACGGGAGGCAGCAGUGGGGACUAUUGGACAAUGGGCGAAAGCCUGAUCCAGCCCUACCGCGUGGGUGCAGAAGGACUUCGGGUUGUAAAGCCCUUUUGUUGGGAAAGAAAAGCAGCAGGUUAAUACCCCGUUGUUCUGACGGUACCCAAAGAAUAAGCACCGGCUAACUCCGUG
rnacentral:rRNA from 1 species